GUGACUGCGUACCUUUUGUAUAAUGGGUCAGCGACUUAUAUUCUGUAGCAAGGUUAACCGAAUAGGGGAGCCGAAGGGAAACCGAGUCUUAACUGGGCGUUAAGUUGCAGGGUAUAGACCCGAAACCCGGUGAUCUAGCCAUGGGCAGGUUGAAGGUUGGGUAACACUAACUGGAGGACCGAACCGACUAAUGUUGAAAAAUUAGCGGAUGACUUGUGGCUGGGGGUGAAAGGCCAAUCAAACCGGGAGAUAGCUGGUUCUCCCCGAAAGCUAUUUAGGUAGCGCCUCGUGAAUUCAUCUCCGGGGGUAGAGCACUGUUUCGGCAAGGGGGUCAUCCCGACUUACCAACCCGAUGCAAACUGCGAAUACCGGAGAAUGUUAUCACGGGAGACACACGGCGGGUGCUAACGUCCGUCGUGAAGAGGGAAACAACCCAGACCGCCAGCUAAGGUCCCAAAGUCAUGGUUAAGUGGGAAACGAUGUGGGAAGGCCCAGACAGCCAGGAUGUUGGCUUAGAAGCAGCCAUCAUUUAAAGAAAGCGUAAUAGCUCACUGGUCGAGUCGGCCUGCGCGGAAGAUGUAACGGGGCUAAACCAUGCACCGAAGCUGCGGCAGCGACACUAUGUGUUGUUGGGUAGGGGAGCGUUCUGUAAGCCUGUGAAGGUGUACUGUGAGGUAUGCUGGAGGUAUCAGAAGUGCGAAUGCUGACAUAAGUAACGAUAAAGCGGGUGAAAAGCCCGCUCGCCGGAAGACCAAGGGUUCCUGUCCAACGUUAAUCGGGGCAGGGUGAGUCGACCCCUAAGGCGAGGCCGAAAGGCGUAGUCGAUGGGAAACAGGUUAAUAUUCCUGUACUUGGUGUUACUGCGAAGGGGGGACGGAGAAGGCUAUGUUGGCCGGGCGACGGUUGUCCCGGUUUAAGCGUGUAGGCUGGUUUUCCAGGCAAAUCCGGAAAAUCAAGGCUGAGGCGUGAUGACGAGGCACUACGGUGCUGAAGCAACAAAUGCCCUGCUUCCAGGAAAAGCCUCUAAGCAUCAGGUAACAUCAAAUCGUACCCCAAACCGACACAGGUGGUCAGGUAGAGAAUACCAAGGCGCUUGAGAGAACUCGGGUGAAGGAACUAGGCAAAAUGGUGCCGUAACUUCGGGAGAAGGCACGCUGAUAUGUAGGUGAAGCGACUUGCUCGUGGAGCUGAAAUCAGUCGAAGAUACCAGCUGGCUGCAACUGUUUAUUAAAAACACAGCACUGUGCAAACACGAAAGUGGACGUAUACGGUGUGACGCCUGCCCGGUGCCGGAAGGUUAAUUGAUGGGGUUAGCGCAAGCGAAGCUCUUGAUCGAAGCCCCGGUAAACGGCGGCCGUAACUAUAACGGUCCUA
rnacentral:rRNA from 1 species